rnacentral:rRNA from 1 species
AUUGAACGCUGGCGGCAGGCUUAACACAUGCAAGUCGCACGAGUGGCGGACGGGUGAGUAAUGCUUGGGAAUCUACCUUAUGGCGGGGGAUAACUACGGGAAACUGUAUCUAAUCCCGCGUACCAUAGGAUGAGCCCAAGUGGGAUUAGGUAGUUGGUGGGGUAAAGGCUCACCAAGCCGACGAUCUCUAGCUGGUCUGAGAGGAUGACCAGCAAAACUGGGACUGAGACACGGCCCAGACGCCGACGGGAGGAAGCAGUGGGGAAUAUUGCGCAAUGGGGGCAACCUGACGCAGCCAUGCCGCGUGAAUGAAGAAGGCCUUCGGGUGGUAAAGUACUUGCGGUGACGAGGCGUUAACUGCAGAAGAAGCACCGGCUAACUCCGUGCCAGCAGCCGCGGUAAUAC